rnacentral:tRNA from 1 species
ACUUAAGUGGUGUUAUUACACAGUAAGUUGUAAACUUAAAGAUGCUCAGGCCUAAGUUA